rnacentral:rRNA from 1 species
CAUUUGUUCUUUAAAUAAGGACUUGUAUGAAUGGCCACACGAGGGUUUUACUGUCUCUUACUUCCAAUCAGUGAAAUUGACCUUCCCUUGAAGAGGCGGGAAUAANNNAAUAAGACGAGAAGACCCUAUGGAGCUUUAACUAGUUAGCUUAAAGAAAAAAACUUUACCACCAAGGGACAACACUAAUCUUAAUAAACUAACAGUUUCGGUUGGGGUGACCUCGGAGAACAAAAAAUCCUCCGAGCGAUUUUAAAAACAAGACACACAAGUCAAAUUGAACUAUCGCUUAUUGAUCCAAAAUUUGAUCAACGGAACAAGUUACCCUAGGGAUAACAGCGCA